UCUGCAAUGGCCUGUUCAACCUCCUGAGAAAUUGAAUCCAAAUGAAGAUUCCUGCCAGACAAAAGGUGCCACCACAGAAAGGUCUUUGCUGCCCAAGAAAUGCCCAGGCUGCCCCAACUACACCUGAAGCCAAAGGUUCCAGACUUUUUUUCCUGGUAGGAAGAGCUGCUGUUCCCUUUUUUCAACCCCGCGCUGUAAUGGCCUCUCCCACCUCCUAGAAAAUUGAAUCCAACUGAAGAUUCCUGCCAGACAAAAGGUGCCACCACAGAAAACUCUUCCUGCCCAAGAUGUGCCCAGGCUGCCCAAACUACACCUGAAGCCAAAGCUUCCAGACUUUUUUCCUGGUGGAAAGAGCUGCUGUUCCCUUUUUUCAGCCCCGCGCUGUAAUGGCCUGUCCCACCUCCUGGAAAAUUGAAUCCAAUUGAA